rnacentral:rRNA from 1 species
AGAGUUUGAUCCUGGCUCAGAGUGAACGCUGGCGGCAUGCCUAACACAUGCAAGUCGAACGGUAACAGGCCCGCAAGGGUGCUGACGAGUGGCGGACGGGUGAGGAAUACAUCGGAAUUUGCCCAGUCGUGGGGGAUAACGUAGGGAAACUUACGCUAAUACCGCAUACGACCUAACGGUGAAAGCGGGGGAUCGCAAGACCUCGCGCGAGUGGAUGAGCCGAUGUCCGAUUAGCUAGUUGGCGGGGUAAAGGCCCACCAAGGCGACGAUCCGUAGCUGGUCUGAGAGGAUGAUCAGCCACACUGGGACUGAGACACGGCCCAGACUCCUACGGGAGGCAGCAGUGGGGAAUAUUGGACAAUGGGGGCAACCCUGAUCCAGCAAUGCCGCGUGUGUGAAGAAGGCCUUCGGGUUGUAAAGCACUUUUAUCCGGAACGAAACGCGCAGGGUGAAUAUCCUUGCGAACUGACGGUACCGGAGGAAUAAGCACCGGCUAACUUCGUGCCAGCAGCCGCGGUAAUACGAAGGGUGCAAGCGUUACUCGGAAUUACUGGGCGUAAAGGGUGCGUAGGUGGUUGUUUAAGUCUGUUGUGAAAGCCCCGGGCUCAACCUGGGAAUGGCAAUGGAUACUGGACAGCUAGAGUGCGGUAGAGGGUAGUGGAAUUCCCGGUGUAGCAGUGAAAUGCGUAGAGAUCG